AUCUCAAAUCAGGUAGGACUACCCGCUGAACUAACCUAUCAUUAACCGAAGGAA
rnacentral:rRNA from 1 species